CUCUUGGAAAGGGAACCAAGGCACAGGAGGUGGUAUGGACACUCCGAGUGCCUCUGCUCCUCCCCAAGAACUGCAGCCCCCGCGACUGGUCCUAGCCCAGUGCGGAGGGUACUGCAAUUUCCAAGGAAGCUAGUCGUCAAGAGGGCAAAAAUGGUCCUAUGGGUGACGCUCCGGAGUCGUCCGUGCUUGGCACAAAGGUGCCUACUCCGGCCAGCACUCCUCCUCCCGCUCCGACUGAUACAUCUGCGCCAGCUGGGGAGGGAGGGAGCAGGAGAUGGAGCGCCUGCGGCGGUAGCAGAGCUGUCUCCUUAUCACGGCGGGACGACCCUAGAGCCAGAGCCGCUCAGGACCAGAGCCCCUGGGGUGGCUCAUCCUAGGGUGUCGGGUGAGGUCCCUGCUGGGCUUAUCCACGACGAUCUUUUGGAAGAGCGGGUCUGCAAGAAGAUGUUGAACUCGCUGAAGCAAGUGAAUAUUCAUCACAAGAAAAUGGCCCUGCGAUCCCGAGUCAAGUAAUCCAUUUUGUUUGUGAUGUCAGAAUGACUCCAGCAGGUUCCUGCGCUUAAGCAGGAGCUUGAGGAAAAGCAUGACUUGAUUGCCGAACUCAGGGAGCAGCUGGCUGCACCUCGGGAAGGUGCCACUAGUUCCUCUAGCCAGUACCAAGAGGAGCUUGCUCAACUCAAGAGGGAAAGGGAUCAAGCUCUCCAAGAUUGCGCGGAACUGCAUUAGUCCAAGGUGGAUCUCGAAGAGUACAAGAAAACCUUAGAGCAGCAGCUGGAACAAGCUGACAAGAAGCUUGUUGAACAGCAAUAUAGUAUCCAGAAGUUGAAUCGGGAUAAAGAUAGGAGAGACCAGGAGAUCUGCAACCUGGAGGAGGCGGCUCGAGUUGUCAUUGACAUGGUGCAGCCUCUGCAUCCUGGGUAUGUGGAUUCUAGGUCAGUCUUGGAGAGACUCAAGCUUGUUCCUGACUGGCUGAAGGACGCUCCCAAGAGAAGAUCUUCUAGGAGAUAGGCCAAUAGCAUAGUAUAUGGCCUUUAUGUAUAUAACCUUUUGCCACUUUCUGACAUAUAUAAUGUCUUCUGGAACGUGGUCCUACAAUUUCCUGUUAUGCUCAUUGUCUUCUAUAAUUAGAUGAGCUCGAUUGAGUGCCUUUAUUA